rnacentral:rRNA from 1 species
ACAUGCCACGGUGCUUCGACUUGCGAAGAAGUGCUUUUAUUAGAUCAAAGCCAAUGACGUCUUAGGGCGUCAGUUUGUGCUGACUCUGGGUAAAGUAAGCUGAUUGCAUUGCCUAAACGGCAGGCGACGUGUCUUUCAAGUGUCUUCCCUAUCAACUUUCGUUGGUAGUUUAUACGACUACCAUGGUCGUAACGGGUAACGGGGAAUCAGGGUUCGAUUCCGGAGAGAGAGCAUGAGAAACGGCUGUCACAUCCAAGGAAGGCAGCAGGCGCGCAAAUUACCCAAUCCCAGAUAGGGGAGGUAGUGACGAAAAAUAACGAUGCCGUAAUCUUCGGAUUCGGCAAUUGGAAUGAGAACAAUCAAAAUCCUUUAUCGAGGAUCGAUUGGAGGGCAAGUUCUGGUGCCAGCAGCCGCGGUAAUUCCAGCUCGAAAAGCGUAUGUUAAAUUUGCUGCGGUUAAAAAGCUCGUAGUUGGAAGUCAGGCGAUGAACUGUGCGCUGUCACGUCAGGUAAUGGCGUGUACAGCAUUGCAUUUGAUUCAUCCCUAAGUGAUCGCCUGUCCUGUGUGCCUAACCCAAUUGGGUUUGGGAGGUGCAAUAAAAAAAGGAAAGCGAAAGACUACUUUGAGAAAAUUAGCGUGCUUAACGCAAGCGAUUUGCUUGUAUACUGUUGCAUGGAAUAAUGAGAUAGGACCUUGGUUCUGUUUCGUUGGUUUCCGGAAGCCGAGGUAAUGAUUGAUAGGGAUAAAC